rnacentral:lncRNA from 1 species
ACUACAAGAAAACGCCAGAUUAGCUACGGAAUUUAACUACGGAAUUUAUUCCGUAGUUAAUUAACUACGGAUUACCAACGGAAACAUAUUAAUUUUGAUUUUUUAAUUAAUUUUAAAUAUUUAGUUAUUAAACCGUAGCUAAAUAGUCGUUAAAAUAUAUUGAAUUUUUUAUUUUAUUUUAGAUAGCACAGAAUAGUCGUUAAAAUAUACUGAAUUUUUUAUUUUAUUUAUGAAAAUUAAUAUUCCGUUGUUAAAUAGUCGUUAAAAUAUACUGAUUUUUUCAUUUUAUUUAUUAAAUUAAUAAUCCGUAGUUAAAUAGUCGUUAAAAUAUACUAUUUUUUUCAUUUUAUUUAUUAAAAUUAAUAUUCCGUAGCUAUAUAGUCG